UUAAAUUGAAGAGUUUGAUCAUGGCUCAGAUUGAACGCUGGCGGCAGGCCUAACACAUGCAAGUCGAACGGUAACAGGAAACAGCUUGCUGUUUCGCUGACGAGUGGCGGACGGGUGAGUAAUGUCUGGGAAACUGCCCGAUGGAGGGGGAUAACUACUGGAAACGGUAGCUAAUACCGCAUAACGUCGCAAGACCAAAGAGGGGGACCUUCGGGCCUCUUGCCAUCGGAUGUGCCAGAUGGGAUUAGCUAGUAGGUGGGGUAACGGCUCACCUAGGCGACGAUCCCUAGCUGGUCUGAGAGGAUGACCAGCCACACUGGAACUGAGACACGGUCCAGACUCCUACGGGAGGCAGCAGUGGGGAAUAUUGCACAAUGGGCGCAAGCCUGAUGCAGCCAUGCCGCGUGUAUGAAGAAGGCCUUCGGGUUGUAAAGUACUUUCAGCGGGGAGGAAGGGAGUAAAGUUAAUACCUUUGCUCAUUGACGUUACCCGCAGAAGAAGCACCGGCUAACUCCGUGCCAGCAGCCGCGGUAAUACGGAGGGUGCAAGCGUUAAUCGGAAUUACUGGGCGUAAAGCGCACGCAGGCGGUCUGUUAAGUCAGAUGUGAAAUCCCCGGGCUCAACCUGGGAACUGCAUCUGAUACUGGCAGGCUUGAGUCUCGUAGAGGGGGGUAGAAUUCCAGGUGUAGCGGUGAAAUGCGUAGAGAUCUGGAGGAAUACCGGUGGCGAAGGCGGCCCCCUGGACGAAGACUGACGCUCAGGUGCGAAAGCGUGGGGAGCAAACAGGAUUAGAUACCCUGGUAGUCCACGCCGUAAACGAUGUCGACUUGGAGGUUGUGCCCUUGAGGCGUGGCUUCCGGAGCUAACGCGUUAAGUCGACCGCCUGGGGAGUACGGCCGCAAGGUUAAAACUCAAAUGAAUUGACGGGGGCCCGCACAAGCGGUGGAGCAUGUGGUUUAAUUCGAUGCAACGCGAAGAACCUUACCUGGUCUUGACAUCCACAGAACUUUCCAGAGAUGGAUUGGUGCCUUCGGGAACUGUGAGACAGGUGCUGCAUGGCUGUCGUCAGCUCGUGUUGUGAAAUGUUGGGUUAAGUCCCGCAACGAGCGCAACCCUUAUCCUUUGUUGCCAGCGGUCCGGCCGGGAACUCAAAGGAGACUGCCAGUGAUAAACUGGAGGAAGGUGGGGAUGACGUCAAGUAUCAUGGCCCUUACGACCAGGGCUACACACGUGCUACAAUGGCGCAUACAAAGAGAAGCGACCUCGCGAGAGCAAGCGGACCUCAUAAAGUGCGUCGUAGUCCGGAUUGGAGUCUGCAACUCGACUCCAUGAAGUCGGAAUCGCUAGUAAUCGUGGAUCAGAAUGCCACGGUGAAUACGUUCCCGGGCCUUGUACACACCGCCCGUCACACCAUGGGAGUGGGUUGCAAAAGAAGUAGGUAGCUUAACCUUCGGGAGGGCGCUUACCACUUUGUGAUUCAUGACUGGGGUGAAGUCGUAACAAGGUAACCGUAGGGGAACCUGCGGUUGGAUCACCUCCUUACCUUAAAGAAGC
rnacentral:rRNA from 1 species